AGCCACAACCAGAUCUCUCAAGAGGGCUUUCUCCAUCUCAUUCAUAUCUUCGCCACAUCCCAAAAGAUUGCCAAAGUUCAUGUAAGUUUCUGCUCCAUGGAAAUGCUGCUUAUCACAUUUGUGAAGGAAGAACAACUUCAAAAGAGCCUCAGGAUAACGCAGUGCAACUUCCAAAAAGAACAUCUGGACCAAUUGUCCAUUGAGUUGGGAAAGUGCACCUCCUUGAACGAUUUCA